rnacentral:rRNA from 1 species
CAGCAGCCGCGGUAAUGCGUAGGGUGCGAGCGUUAAUCGGAAUUAUUGGGCGUAAAGGGCUCGCAGGCGGUUUCUUAAGUCUGAUGUGAAAGCCCCCGGCUCAACCGGGGGGGGUCAUUGGAAACUGGGAAACUUGAGUGCAGAAGAGGAGAGUGGAAUUCCACGUGUAGCGGUGAAAUGCGUAGAGAUGUGGAGGAACACCAGUGGCGAAGGCGACUCUCUGGUCUGUAACUGACGCUGAGGAGCGAAAGCGUGGGGAGCGAACAGGAUUAGAUACCCGCGUAGUCCCUGUCUCUUAUAA